AGUCGUGGAGUGAGCACAAAGUGAACUAUUCUUUCGCCUUUUACUAAAAAAUAUUGUGUGCUCGCUGCUUAUGGCGACAUACUCCAAUUUUUUUUUAAGGAGCCUACUCAGAUUGGCUCCU